GAUGAACGCUGGCGGCGUGCCUAAUACAUGCAAGUCGAGCGAACCACUUCGGUGGUGAGCGGCGAACGGGUGAGUAACACGUAGGUGAUCUGCCCAUCAGACGGGGACAACGAUUGGAAACGAUCGCUAAUACCGGAUAGGACGAAAGUUUAAAGGUGCUUCUGGCACCGCUGAUGGAUGAGCCUGCGGCGCAUUAGCUAGUUGGUAGGGUAAAGGCCUACCACGGCGACGAUGCGUAGCCGACCUGAGAGGGUGAACGGCCACACUGGGACAGGGACCAGGCCCAGACGCCAACGGGGGGCAGCAGUAGGGAAUCUUCGGAAAUGGGCGAAAGCCUGACCGAGCAACGCCGCGUGAAUGAUGAAGGCCUUCGGGUUGUAAAAUUCUGUUAUAAGGGAAGAACGACUUUAGUAGGAAAUGGCUAGAGUGUGACGGUACCUUAUGAGAAAGCCACGGCUAACUACGUGCCAGCCGCCGCGGUAA
rnacentral:rRNA from 1 species